UACGAAGGGGGCUAGCGUUGCUCGGAAUCACUGGGCGUAAAGGGUGCGUAGGCGGGUCUUUUAAGUCAGGGGGUGAAAUCCUGGAGCUCAACUCCAGAACUGCCUUUGAUACUGAGGAUCUUGAGUUCGGGAGAGGUGAGUGGAACUGCGAGUGUAGAGGUGAAAUUCGUAGAUAUUCGCAAGAACACCAGUGGCGAAGGCGGCUCACUGGCCCGAUACUGACGCUGAGGCACGAAAGCGUGGGGAGCAAACAGGGA
rnacentral:rRNA from 1 species